CUCCAUCUUCAUCAAAUCACCAAAACACUUCUUCUCUUCUCCCUCAUAAGCGUCGGCCGAACACUCCCCUCACCACCACCAUUGUUUCAUUUCAAUUCCAUCCAAUCCAAGACCAUUUUAAGGUGCACAAGGGUGAUUAAGAAGGUGUGGAACUCUUGGAUCAUCAAGGACCUCCUUUGUUUGCUUUUAUCCACUUCAUCUUCACCAUUGUUCUUCCCUAGCUUGAAGAAGCUAGUAGUAGUCGUGAUUAGCUGCGGAGAUUUGAGUUGACGGUACAGAAGACACAUUACUGGAACUAGUGGAUCUGGCAGGGUAUGCAUGUGUCGACAAGCUGCGUAGUGAAAUAAAAGAUGUUAUCCAUGGUUGUUGAGUUUAGAGGGUGUAUCCUAAUCCUGGACGGGAUACAUGAUUCUAAACUCGGGUCUUAUUUAAGUACUUUUGUUGAGUCUUUAUGAACUUAUUUGAACAUGUCAUGGUUUGUAACUUAAUUUGGUAUUGAUGUUUUCAGACAAUGGUAUUGUGGUCUUUUUCUAAACUCUUUUAAUGGAUAAACAUCUCGUGUUUUUAUCA